UAGAGGAAGUAAAAGUCGUAACAAGGUUUCCGUAGGUGAACCUGCGGAAGGAUCAUGACAGUAGUCGCCCGGGUUGCCGCAAGGCCUCCCGGGUAACCUACCACCCUUUGUUUAUCACACUUUGUUGCUUUGGCAGGCCUGCCCUCGGGCUGCUGGCUCCGGCCGGCGAGCGCCUGCCAGAGGACCUAAACUCUGUUUGUCUAUACUGUCUGAGUACUAUAUAAUAGUUAAAACUUUCAACAACGGAUCUCUUGGUUCUGGCAUCGAUGAAGAACGCAGCGAAAUGCGAUAAGUAAUGUGAAUUGCAGAAUUCAGUGAAUCAUCGAAUCUUUGAACGCACAUUGCGCCCCCUGGUAUUCCGGGGGGCAUGCCUGUCCGAGCGUCAUUACAACCCUCAAGCUCAGCUUGGUGUUGGGCCCCGCCGCCCCGGCGGGCCCUAAAGUCAGUGGCGGUGCCGUCCGGCUCCGAGCGUAGUAAUUCUUCUCGCUCUGGAGGCCCGGUCGCGUGCCCGCCAGCAACCCCCAAUUUUUUUCAGGUUGACCUCGGAUCAGGUAGGGAUACCCGCUGAACUUAAGCAUAUCAAUAAGCGGA
rnacentral:rRNA from 1 species